GACAUACUUAUCAGAAUCCACUUUUUCAAAUAUGAACGUCAUAAAAAAUCAAGAAACCAAAUUACAAACGAUCAUUUGGAUCAAGGCUGUCCAACUUGCGGCCCAACAUAAAAUCGUAAACUUCCUUAAAGUAUUGAGAUUUUUAUUUAUCUUAUUAUUGUUUUUAUUUUUUCAAAUUCUCCGUAACAUCAAGAAAUAUCCCACUGAUAAAGAAAAUAAUUUGUUUCAUUUUCGUACUAAAAAUAUAUAAAGAAAAUAAUAAAAUUGAUGGACUUUUUAUUAUUUAAAUACCUAUCUACAC
rnacentral:lncRNA from 1 species